ACGUGAAACCUUGUGGGAAGCAGGGAGGACCACCUCCCAAGGCUAAAUACUACCUGAUGACCGAUAGUGAAGCAGUACCGUGAGGGAAAGGUGAAAAGAACCCCGGGAGGGGAGUGAAAUAGAACCUGAAACCGUGUGCCUACAACCGCUCAGAGCCCCUUAUGAGGGUGAUGAGGUGCUUUUUGUAGAACGAGCCAACGAGUUACGGUAUGUAGCAAGGUUAAGUACUUAAGGUACGGAGCCGAAGGGAAACCGAGUCUGAAUAGGGCGACUAGUUGCAUGCCGUAGACCCGAAACCGGGUGACCUAUCCAUGGCCAGGUUGAAGCGAGGGUAAAACCUCGUGGAGGACCGAACCACGUUGCUGUUGAAAAAGCAUGGGAUGAGCUGUGGAUAGCGGAGAAAUUCCAAUCGAACCCGGAGAUAGCUGGUUCUCUCCGAAAUAGCUUUAGGGCUAGCGUCGAGUAUGAGUAGUGGAGGUAGAGCACUGAAUGGGCUAGGGGGCAUAGCGCUUACCGAACCUUAUCAAACUCCGAAUGCCACAUACUUUGAGCUCGGCAGUCAGACUACGAAUGAUAAGAUCCGUGGUCAAAAGGGAAACAGCCCAGAUCGUCAGCUAAGGUCCCAAAGUGUAAGUUAAGUGGGAAAGGAUGUGAGAUUUCUAAGACAACUAGGAUGUUGGCUUAGAAGCAGCCAUUCAUUAAAAGAGUGCGUAAUAGCUCACUAGUCGAGAGAUCUUGCGCCGAAAAUGUAACGGGGCUAAACUUACCACCGAAGCUACGGGCUUGAACUUAGUUCAAGCGGUAGGAGAGCGUCGUAACCGGGCUGAAGUCGUACCGUAAGGAGCGGUGGACUGGUUACGAGUGAGAAUGUUGGCAUCAGUAGCGAGAUGUGGGUGAGAAUCCCACAGGCCGAAAACCUAAGGUUUCCUCAGGAAGGUUCGUCCGCUGAGGGUUAGUCGGGACCUAAGCCGAGGCCGAAAGGCGUAGGUGAUGGACAACUGGUUGAUAUUCCAGUACCACUACCAUCGUUAUUAUCGAUGGCGUGACGCAGGAGGAUAGUGUGUGCUAGCUAUUGGAUGCUAGUCUAAGCGUUUAGGCAGUGAGAGUAGGCAAAUCCGCUCUCAUAAUGCUGAGGCGUGAUGGGGAAGGUUCUACGGAACCGAAGUACAUGAUUCCACGCUGCCAAGAAAAGCGUCUAGAGAGAGAAGUAGUGCCCGUACCGCAAACCGACACAGGUAGGUGAGGAGAGAAUCCUAAGGCCGGCGGAAGAAUUACAGUUAAGGAACUCGGCAAAUUGACCCCGUAAGUUCGCGAGAAGGGGUGCCUACGAGAGUAGGCCGCAGAGAAUAGGCCCAAGCAACUGUUUAGCAAAAACACAGGUCUCUGCUAAAGCGUAAGCUGAUGUAUAGGGGCUGACGCCUGCCCGGUGCUGGAAGGUUAAGGGGAACACUUAGCGCAAGCGAAGGUGUGAACUUAAGCCCCAGUAAACGGCGGCCGUAACUAUAACGGUCCUAAGGUAGCGAAAUUCCUUGUCAGGUAAGUUCUGACCCGCACGAAUGGCGUAAUGACUUGGGCACUGUCUCAACUGUAAAUCCGGCGAAGUUGUAGUGCGAGUGAAGAUGCUCGCUACCCGCGAUUGGACGGAAAGACCCCGUAGAGCUUUACUGUAGCUUAGCAUUGAGUUUUGGUAUUGUCUGUACAGGAUAGGUGGGAGACUAGGAAACCAGGGCGUCAGCCUUGGUGGAGUCAACCUUGGGAUACCACCCUGACAGUACUGAAAUUCUAACUGGCGGCCAUGAAUCUGGUCACAGGACAUUGUUAGGUGGGCAGUUUGACUGGGGCGGUCGCCUCCUAAAAAGUAACGGAGGCGCCCAAAGGUUCCCUCAGAACGGUCGGAAAUCGUUCGAAGAGUGCAAAGGCAGAAGGGAGCCUGACUGCGACACCCACAAGUGGAGCAGGGACGAAAGUCGGGCUUAGUGAUCCGGUGGUACCUCGUGGGAGGGCCAUCGCUCAACGGAUAAAAGCUACCUCGGGGAUAACAGGCUGAUCUCCCCCAAGAGUCCACAUCGACGGGGAGGUUUGGCACCUCGAUGUCGGCUCGUCGCAUCCUGGGGCUGAAGUAGGUCCCAAGGGUUGGGCUGUUCGCCCAUUAAAGCGGCACGCGAGCUGGGUUCAGAACGUCGUGAGACAGUUCGGUCCCUAUCCGUCGCGGGCGUAGGAAAUUUGAGAGGAGCUGUCCUUAGUACGAGAGGACCGGGAUGGACUGACCUCUGGUGUACCAGUUGUUCCGCCAGGAGCACAGCUGGGUAGCUAAGUCGGGAAUGGAUAAACGCUGAAAGCAUCUAAGCGUGAAGCCAACCUCAAGAUGAGAUUUCCCAUAGCGUAAGCUAGUAAGAUCCCUUGAAGAACACAAGGUUGAUAGGUCGGGGGUGUAAGCAUGGUAACAUGUUCAGCUGACCGAUACUAAUAGAUCG
rnacentral:rRNA from 1 species